rnacentral:rRNA from 1 species
AUUGAACGCUGGCGGCAUGCCUUACACAUGCAAGUCGAACGGUAACAGGUCUUCGGAUGCUGACGAGUGGCGAACGGGUGAGUAAUACAUCGGAACGUGCCCGAGAGUGGGGGAUAACGAAGCGAAAGCUUUGCUAAUACCGCAUACGAUCUCAGGAUGAAAGCAGGGGACCGCAAGGCCUUGCGCUCACGGAGCGGCCGAUGGCAGAUUAGGUAGUUGGUGGGAUAAAAGCUUACCAAGCCGACGAUCUGUAGCUGGUCUGAGAGGACGACCAGCCACACUGGGACUGAGACACGGCCCAGACUCCUACGGGAGGCAGCAGUGGGGAAUUUUGGACAAUGGGCGCAAGCCUGAUCCAGCCAUGCCGCGUGCAGGAUGAAGGCCUUCGGGUUGUAAACUGCUUUUGUACGGAACGAAAAGACUCUGGUUAAUACCUGGGGUCCAUGACGGUACCGUAAGAAUAAGCACCGGCUAACUACGUGCCAGCAGCCGCGGUAAUACGUAGGGUGCGAGCGUUAAUCGGAAUUACUGGGCGUAAAGCGUGCGCAGGCGGUUAUGUAAGACAGAUGUGAAAUCCCCGGGCUCAACCUGGGAACUGCAUUUGUGACUGCAUAGCAAGAGUACGGCAGAGGGGGAUGGAAUUCCGCGUGUAGCAGUGAAAUGCGUAGAUAUGCGGAGGAACACCGAUGGCGAAGGCAAUCCCCUGGGCCUGUACUGACGCUCAUGC